AGUAGAUUUUUUGACCUUUGAAUUCUUCAAUUACCAUGCCAAGCUUUCAGGACAAUUAAGACGUAAAUAUUCUUUACAUAGAAUCUUAGCCUUCUUAAUCCCUGAUUGAGGCUUUGCGCAGCAGGAGCGUGGUGGUGUGCAAAAGCACUGUCUCAGAGGACGCAAACGUGUUAAUAAAAGGUUGCUCUGGGGCUGCCAGGCAUCUCUGCAAUCAAGGAAAUUGGUGCCAUCAUGAGUGGCCAGGAACAGCACGGGGACCAGACACUGCUGCCUCAAGCUCGUUCACAAAACCUCCUGCACCUCACCUUGGACCAGAAGACCCGCUCAGGACCCCCCUGUCUUCAGGAGAGCUUUUCUCUUUCU